AUGAAGUUAGAGUUUUAUUCUCAACUAAAUUCACAGGGAUGUUGUUACAAAAAAUAAGUUAUUUUUGCUGAAACUCUACACAAAAAUUAUAUUUAAAAAAAAAAUUUUUGGUAAUUUUGUUUUCUUCUUUUUUUUUUAUGUCAGCCAAUUUGGUCCUCACAACUUGUGUGAUGCCAGAGAAUACAUAAAACAUUGAAGACAACACUUCUACUCUCAAUGUUUGUAUCAUGACUGAUGGAUUAAUAUAACCAUACUAUGUCAUGACAGUGAAAUCAUUCAUAAAUGAGGAACAGAACAAAAAUAGUGAAGUAGCUGUAGAAUGAUGUCAACUUCAAUUCUUUACAAAUCUCCAGAACUAAAGUUAAUAUCAUGACCAAAAACCGUGAGUAAGAACUUCAUAUACAUAUCAUCUGUAAUAUUUGAAAUCUAUAAAGUGAAUUGAAAUAACAUUUUGCCACUUUAAUUCUUUACACUCUGACACUCUUCUCACAGAUAUUCCUUGGAGGAAAUAAUUUCUGGACAUGAGAGAAGCUCGUGGUCAUUCUAAUCCCUUGAUAUUAAGUUUCUUUCUCAUAACGCACUGUCUUAUCUAGUUCAAUGAAGGUAAUGUUAAAAAAGGCAAGAAAAACAGGAAAGCCAUUGGUGCAAUUGUUCGUUAAUAUGGCAUAUUUCAGCUGCCACUGCAUUGUAUGACAAGUUUAAAGAAAAACCUUUUAAUUCUGUUAGUCUUUCUUUCAAGAGUUUUACAGUUCUAUAUUUAAGAGAUGAGGAAUUAUGUACAUUAUUUACAUUUAAAGGAUAUUUGUCCUCAUCCUGUUUGUUAUUAACACAAUGUUUCGGCUGAUAUACCCUUCAGCCUUCAUCAGGUGUCUUGGGGAAAACUGGCCUGAAUAAUAACAACAACAACAACAGCAACAGCAGCAAAAACAACAAUAACAACAUCGAAAAAUACCUUAGGAAUAAGAACCCAGUUUCAAAAUUUCCCCAAGACACCUGAUGAAGGCUGGAGAUUAUAUCAGCUGAAACGUUGUGUUAACAACAAACAAGAUGAGGACAAAUAUCCGUCAAAUGUAAAUAAUGUUUCAAGAGUUUUGUUUUGAACUAAACUGAAUAAAGAUUAUAUAACCCUGCCUAUAAAUGAUGCUGUUGUGUAGCACCAGGUGAGCCACGUUGGUAGUCAGCUGAAUGACAAGGCGCAAACUACAAAUCUAUCUUCCUGAUUAUACUGUGUCUCUGCCCAUCUAAAGUCAUGCAUUUAGGAAGAAUAAGUAUACAGGCUGAUUGUGGUCCUCUUCAUGAUCCAGUUUAUUUUUGUAAGGGAAGCUGGAAUAUCAUUUGUGAAGCAGUUGUAAAAGAAGAUGAAGUUCAGAAAAGAGUUUUUGCAGCUGGCACAUUGAUGUAUGAAGUGUUUAAGAUGAUAUUACCAUAUUACAUCUUUUGUAAACUUUACUAUUUGAAAUCCAGGUUUUGAGUGCACUGAAGUCUCCCUCAAUCUUGGUGCAUUGCACUCUAAUUGGAUUGUGUAACCUAGAAUAUAAUACAAUAAAUAACAGCUGUUUUGUACCAUAUAAAAGAAGCAACAACUUAACAUACUCUCUCUUGUUAAGGUUAUGAAGGAAAGUAUCAUAACCGAACAACUGGUGUAGAAGCAUCAUAGUCAACUGUUACAAGAAUAAAGGAAAUGCCUUAUAGAGGAAUAAUUACAGAAGUAUUAAAUUGCUGGGCCAGGUGAUGAAAGUCACUGAAAGAGUCAUAGAUGAAGUAAUUAAGAAGAGAGUUAACCCAGAUGAAACACAGUUUGGUUUCGUGCUGGAAAGAAACACUACUGUUGCUCUCUUUAUAGUUUGGCAAUUACAGGAGGAAUACUUAGCAAAAAGUCAGUUGUUCUUAGCAUUUGUCAACUUCGGGAAAGUCUUUGAGGGGGUGCCUCGCUGUCUCAUCUAGGGGUUGUUGCAGAAGCUAGGAGUAGAAGAAUGGCUAGUGAGACCCAGUCAAACCAUGUACAGGGAUGCUGUCAGCAAAGUGAGUUAACAAUGAGUUCAGUGAUGAAUUUAGAGUGCAGGCAGGUUUUCAUCAGGCUUUGGCUAUCAAUACACUCACACUUAACAUUGUCCUCCUAACCAUAACAGAAGACUUGAAAACUGGUUACCCAUGGCAACUCCUCUAUGCUGAUGACUUUGUCCUUAUAAAUGAAACUGUAGCAGAAUUAAAAAUGAAAUUUCAGGUGUAGAAGCAAAACCUGGAACCAAGGGGUCUUAAAGUUAACUUAGCAAAGACCAAAGUUCUAGUUAGCAUGAAAACAGACAGGACACUAACCUGUUUGGGUAAAUGGCCGUUCUAUAUGUAGAUAAGGUGUAGGUAGGAACUUUAUAUGGUGUAUUCAAGGCAGACUAUGGACACUAAGAAGUGCAGUGGAAUCACAGGAAGGUUAACAGAGAAAGUAGAAUAUGUAGCAGAUGCAUAGAUGUAAUAAACACUAAGAGCACAUGGAAAUUAGAUGUCCCGGAAUGCCUGGUGAGCUUCGUAGAUAUAGCAAAUAGUUUCAGUCACCUAAGUGACUGAAUUAGCAGUGGAGGAGGAUGCUUUAAAAAUAUAGUUGCUAGAAUAAGAACUGGCAGACUGUACAAUGCCUAUGUAUGAACAUCAAUGCUAUAUGGUUGUGAAACUUGAACUCUGUGAUGGUAGAGGACACAUGAAGACCAGAAAGAAAUGAAACCAGCAUGUUCUGAUGGAUGUGCAAUAUCAAUGUACAUGUAGAACAAAGUACAAAUGUGGUGUAGAGGAAAGAAAACUGCUGGUUGGGUGACUAUAUUAAGAAGUGUUGAUUGCUAAAUGUAGAAGAAGCCUAGGUAAGAGGGGAACCCAGGAAGACAUAGGAUGAAGUGGUGAAGAAUGACCUCUCAGACAAGAUGAAUGGUGAUAUUCUAUGCUUGAGAAUACUUAUCCAUCUCAGCAGAGUUGAGGUUUUGUCAAACCUCCCCCCAACCCAACUCAUUCUUCUGUGGUAACCUAUUUCCUUCCUUCGUUUUCCCUCCAGUCAACUAGUCUUCUCUGCAUCCAGCUCAUCCUCUCUUUCUAAUCAUGUCACACCAUUCUCAUACACUUAUUUAAGCAACCACCUGUCCUGCUCCUCUAUCCUUACUCUUAUAUUCCCCCUCGUACCAUGACCUCACAUCCCUCCCUCUCUUUCCACAUGGGCAAGCCAUAUAUGUACCUUUUCACCUGCUUCUGUCUCUCCAUCAUAUUUUCUUAUCCCUUAAUAC
rnacentral:lncRNA from 1 species